rnacentral:rRNA from 1 species
CCUUCUUCCGUAGGUGAACCUGCGGAAGGAUCAUUA